AUUGAACGCUGGCGGCAGGCCUAACACAUGCACGUAGAACGAGUGGCGGACGGGUGAGUAAUGUCUGGGAAACUGCCUUAUGGAGGGGGAUAACUACUGGAAACGGUAGCUAAUACCGCAUACCAUCGGAUGUGCCCAGAUGGGCUUAGCUAGUAGGUGGGGUAAACGCUCACCUAGCCGACGAUCCCUAGCUGGUCUGCGAGGAUGACCAGCCACACUGGAACUGAGACACGGUCCAGACUCCUACGGGAGGCAGCAGUGGGGAAUAUUGAACAAUUGGCGCAAGCCUGAUGCAGCCAUGCCUCGGGUAUGAAGAAGGCCUUCGGGUUGUAAAGUACUUUCAGCGGGGAGGCGUUACCCGCAGAAGAAGCACCGGCGAAAGAAGGGCCAGCAGCCGCGGUAAUUC
rnacentral:rRNA from 1 species